CUUAGGAGCUUCCUUUUCACCAGACAUGGAGGAAAAGGAAGCUCUGGGAGUGAACAGUACAGCGACCACUAAGACUGAGACCUGUGGACAAGGACAAAAAGGAGGCGCAAAGCGUGGCUCUAGCUCAAAAGAAGACUUAUGAGUCUUCUUUUCAAGAAACAAUGAGACACAAUCAAGAAACCUUUUCUUCAAUCUCAAACAUCAACAGUGAGCAUCUCCAAGAUGCUUCAGCUGGAUCUCUCUUAAUGACGACAGGCUUCUCACGUCAGAAGCAAGUGAGCCACAAAGGUCUCCAGUCUCUUGUCUCCUCCACCACGCAGUCAGCGUCCAGUGAGCAAAGCAUCCAGCUGUAUCCUUUGCCAAAAGCUGGACUCAUCUGCGUCUUGUCUACAUUGUGUCUCUCCUCUUGGUUUACUGAGCUCUCAAAUUCUGCAUUUAUGUCCUAUUCCUGGGCAUAGGAAUAUGGGCACUUGUCUCUAGACAGGAUGAAAAUUUGACAUCUUUUGACCCACUUAGGUAUGCAGUGGCUCACACCUGUAACCCCAGCACUUUGGGAGGCCAAGGCAGGCACAUCACUUGAGGUUAGGAGUUCAAGACCAG
rnacentral:lncRNA from 1 species